rnacentral:rRNA from 1 species
UACGGAGGGUGCAAGCGUUAAUCGGAAUCACUGGGCGUAAAGCGCGCGUAGGUGGCUAUUUAAGUCAGAUGUGAAAGCCCUGGGCUUAACCUGGGAAUGGCAUUUGAUACUGGAUAGCUAGAGUAUGGUAGAGGUGAGUGGAAUUUCAGGUGUAGCGGUGAAAUGCGUAGAGAUCUGAAGGAACAUCAGUGGCGAAGGCGACUCACUGGGCCAUUACUGACACUGAGGUGCGAAAGCGUGGGUAGCAAACAGG